rnacentral:tRNA from 1 species
GAAUAUGUUUAGUAUAUUGGUAUUACUAGCUAAGCUGUAAACUUAGUAACUAUUUAGUUGUGUAGGUUCAAUUCCUAUCAUAUUCA